rnacentral:rRNA from 1 species
UACGUAGGGGGCGAGCGUUAUCCGGAAUUACUGGGUGUAAAGGGAGCGUAGACGGCGAAGUAAGCCUGAAGUGGAAGCCCGCGGCCCAACCGCGGAACUGCUUUGGGAACUGCUUAGCUGGAGUAUGGGAGGGGUAAGCGGAAUUCCUGGUGUAGCGGUGAAAUGCGUAGAUAUCAGGAGGAACACCGGUGGCGAAGGCGGCUUACUGGACCAUGACUGACGUUGAGGCUCGAAAGCGUGGGGAGCAAACAGG